rnacentral:rRNA from 1 species
UACAGAGGUCUCAAGCGUUGUUCGGAAUUACUGGGCGUAAAGGGUGCGCAGGCCGCGCGGGCAGUCAAAUGUGUAAUUCAGGGGCUCAACCCCUGCACUGCGCUUGAUACUUCCGCGCUCGAGCUUUGGAGAGGAGUCUGGAAUUCUCGGUGUAGCAGUGAAAUGCGUGGAUAUCGAGAAGAACACUUAGGGCGUAGGCAAGACUCUGGACAAAUGCUGACGCUUAUGCACGAAGGCUAGGGUAGCGAACGGG